rnacentral:lncRNA from 1 species
UUGCAUCAAGUGGUCAACAGGCUCAGAAACAGAAGCAGGUUUUCCUGGCGAUUCCUCUGCAGCAUAAGUGACAGAGCUCAUUGGAAUUUCAAAUGACAUGGUCAUCGUGCAGGCUCUCCAUUUUGGUAUGAUGCCUCUCGUACUCUUCUUCUUGCCUGCUCUUAAAAGCACCAUGUUUCAUGUAAUUGUUGGACAGGAUCCUUGCAUAUUGUGUUCACUCAUCAAGAGAGUCAUCACAUCAAAUUAAUUUCAGGGUUCGACUCUCUGCAAGUGGAUGCUCAUCUUUUUCAUGAAGCGGCGUACUCUCAUCACAUGCAGCACUGACUCAGCAUGUCAUUACAGCAAAUCACGAUCAACGGAGACACGAAAGGUUCAAUCAAGUAAACGCAGGUGGUUGAUCCAUUACAAUUCAUUUCUAAGUAAUUGAUGUUGGUGAAGUAAAAGAGCAGAUUCUGAGUUCAGUGCUGACUCUUAACAAUGAUCUUGUUACUUUUUUCCUUCUCCUUUUUAAGUGGGAGUCUAUUUGAUUUGAUUCACAGCCUUCUCGUUUCCACGGGGAACAGUUGCCGACAGGGAUGCGGUGGAUUAGGCCCGCUUGGUAGCAGAGAUUACCACUGAGAAGCUUUUUAGAACACGUGCUCUGCGGAUAAAGUGAUGAUAUGCUCAACGUCCCAUUCAUGAAGGCAGCGAAGUAUAUUAAUAUAUAUAUAUAUAUAUAUAUAUAUAUUUACAGUCCCUUAUGCUCCAUCAUUUCUUGGACUCUACUGUUACAACUACACAAGUUAGCAUCAACCUAUAAUUUAAAACAAAAGGAAGCGAGAAAAAAAAAAAAGAAAGAAAAGGGUCGGUCCUGAU